rnacentral:rRNA from 1 species
UACGUAGGGUGCGAGCGUUGUCCGGAAUUAUUGGGCGUAAAGGGCUCGUAGGCGGUUUGUCGCGUCGGGAGUGAAAACCAGGUGCUUACACCUGGCUUGCUUUCGAUACGGGCAGACUGGAGGUAUGCAGGGGAGAACGGAAUUCCUGGUGUAGCGGUGAAAUGCGCAGAUAUCAGGAGGAACACCGGUGGCGAAGGCGGUUCUCUGGGCAUGUCCUGACGCUGAGGAGCGAAAGUGUGGGGAGCGAACAGG